rfam:Picea glauca, whole genome shotgun sequence.
UACCUGGUUGAUCCUUCCAUUAGUCAUAUGCUUGUCUCAAAUAUUAAUCCAUGCAUGUCUAAGUAUGAACUAAUUUAAACUGUGAAACUGCGAAUGGCUCACUAAAUCAGUUACAGUUUCUUUGAUGGUACCCUACUACUCGAAUAACCAUAGUAAUUCUAGAGCUAAUACGUACACCAAGUCUCGACUCUUUGGAAGGGAUGAAUUUAUUAGAUAAAAGGUCGGUGCCGACUUGCCCGCUUCUUCUGUGAAUCAUGAUAACUCGACAGAUCGCACAGACCUUGUGUUGGCGAUGCUUCAUUCAACCCUAUCAACUUUCGAUGGUAGGAUAGAGGCCUACCAUGGUGGUGAAGGGUGAUGGAGAAUUAAGGUUCGAUUCUGGAGAGAGAGCCUGAGAAACGUCUACCACAUCCAAGGAAGGCAGCAGGCACGCAAAUUACCCAAUCUUGACAUGGGGAGGUAGUGACAAUAAAUAACAAUACUGGGCUCAUCAAGUCUAGUAAUUGGAAUGAGUAAAAUCUAAAUCCCUUAACGAGGAUCCAUUGGAGGGAAAGUCUAGUGCCAGCAACCGCGGUAAUCCCAGCUCCAAUAGUGUAUAUUUAAGUUGUAGUUAAAAAGAUCAUAGUUGGAUAUUGGGUCGUAAAGGUCGGUCCGCCUACUCGGUGUGCACCUGCCCUUCCGUCCCUUUUGUCGGUGGUGUGCUCCUAGACUUAAUUGGCUGGGUCGCGGUUCCGGCGUUGUUAGUUUGAAAAAAAUAGAGUUCUCAAAGAAAGCUUAUGCUCUGAAUACAUUAGUAUGGAAUAAUGCGAUAGGAUUCUGGUCAUAUUGUGUUGGCCUUCGGGACUGGAGUAAUGAUUAAUAGGGACUGUCAAGGGCAUUCGUAUUUCAUUGUCAGAGGUGAAAUUCUUGGAUUUAUGAAAGAUGAACCACUAUGAAAUCAUUUUCCAAGGAUGUUUUCAUUAAUCAAGAAUGAAAUUUGGGGGCUCGAAGACGAUCAGAUACCUUCCUAGUCUCAACCAUAAACGAUGUCGACCAGGGAUCGACGGAUGUUGCUCUAAGGACUCCACCGACACCUUCUGAGAAGUCAGAGUGUUUGGUUUCCGGGGGGAGUAUGGUCACAAGGUUCAAACUUAAAGGAAUUGAUGGAAGGGAACCACCAGGAGUGGAUCCUGCAGCUUAAUUUGAUUCAACAUGGGAAAACUUACUAGGUCCAGACAUAGUAAGGAUUGACAGAUUCAAAGAUCUUUAUUAAUUCCAUGGGUGGUGGUGCAUGGACAUUCUUAUUUGGUGGAGCGAUUUGUCUGGUUAAUUCCGAUAACGAACGAGACCUCAGCUUGCUAACUAGCUACACGGAGGUUCCCCUUCGUGGACAACUUCUUAGAGGGACUAUGGUCGUUUAGUCCAUGGAAGUUUGAGGCAAUAACAGGUCUUUGAUUCCCUUAGAUGUCCUGGUCUGCACACGCACUACACUGAUGCAGUCAACGAGUUUUUCUCCCUGCUUCGAGAGGAUCGGGAAAUCUUCUCUCAAAAUGCAUCAUGAUGGGGAUAGACCAUUGCAAUUAUUGGUCUUCAAUGAGGAAUUCCUAGUAAGUGUGUCUCAUCGGCUCAUGUCGAAUACAUCCCUGCCCUUUGUACACAUUGUAUGUCACUCCUACCGAUUGAAUGAUCCGGUGAAGUGAUUGGAUCGCAUUAACAAGGGUGGUCCAUCGCCGACGAUGUCGUGAGACAUGGUUACAAGAAUUCAACAUCGUCAAAUAGUGAUGAAGUCAUCCAUGGACCUGAAUUAACACCAAAUCAUUU